AGAGCACAAGGUGAAUGCCUUGGCUGCAUAAGGCGAUGAAGGACGUAAUAACCUGCGAUAAGCCUCGGGGAGCUGGUAAAUAAGCUUCGAUCCGAGGAUUUCCGAAUGGGAAAACCCAAUAUACAUAAGUAUAUUAUCUUAUACUGAAUACAUAGGUAUAAGAGGCGAACCUGGGGAACUGAAACAUCUAAGUACCCAGAGGAAAAGAAAUCAACAGAGAUUCCGGUAGUAGCGGCGAGCGAAACCGGACCAGCCCUUAAGCUUAUUUUAGUCCAGCAAAAUAUUCUGGAAAGUUUGACCAUAGUGGGUGAUAGUCCCGUAUGCGAAAGACUAAUUUAAGUGAAAUCGAGUAGGUCGGAACACGUGAAAUUCUGACUGAAUAUGGGGGGACCAUCCUCCAAGGCUAAAUACUCUAUGCAGACCGAUAGUGAACCAGUACCGUGAGGGAAAGGCGAAAAGAACCCCGGCGAGGGGAGUGAAAUAGAACCUGAAACCUUGUGCUUACAAGCAGUCGGAGCAGACUUGUUCUGUGACGGCGUACCUUUUGUAUAAUGGGUCAACGACUUAAUUUCAGUAGCAAGCUUAACCAUAUAGGGUAGGCGUAGGGAAACCGAGUCUUAAUAGGGCGCUCAGUUGCUGGAAUUAGACCCGAAACCGGGUGAUCUAUCCAUGGCCAGUGUGAAGGUCGAGUAACAUCGACUGGAGGCGCGAACCCACUUAUGUUGAAAAAUGAGGGGAUGAGCUGUGGAUAGGAGUGAAAGGCUAAUCAAACCCGGAGAUAGCUGGUUCUCUUCGAAAACUAUUUAGGUAGUGCCUCGUGUAUUACUGUAGGGGGUAGAGCACUGUUUCGGCUAGGGGGUCAUCCCGACUUACCAAACCGAUGCAAACUCCGAAUACCUACAAGUAUGAGCACGGGAGACAGACUGCGGGUGCUAACGUCCGUAGUCGAGAGGGAAACAACCCAGACCGUCAGCUAAGGUCCCAAAUUAUGAUUAAGUGGGAAACAAUGUGGGAAGGCACAAACAGCUAGGAGGUUGGCUUAGAAGCAGCCAUCCUUUAAAGAAAGCGUAAUAGCUCACUAGUCGAGUCGGCCUGCGUGGAAGAUAUAACGGGGCUAAAUCAUAAACCGAAGCUACAGAUCUUAAAUUUAUUUAAGAUGGUAGAAGAGCGUUCUGUAAGCGGAUGAAGGUGAGCUGAGAGGCGAGCUGGACGUAUCAGAAGUGCGAAUGUUGACAUGAGUAACGAUCAAAGAGGUGAAAAACCUCUUCGCCGAAAAACCAAGGGUUCCUGUCCAACGCUAAUCGUGGCAGGGUGAGGCGGCCCCUAAGGCGAGGGCGAAAGCCGUAGUCGAUGGGAAACAGGUUAAUAUUCCUGUACUUUUUAUAACUGCGAUGGGGUGACGGAGAAGGUUAGGCUAGCACGGCGACGGUUGUCCGUGUUCAAGGUUGUAGGCUGGUGUUCUAGGUAAAUCCGGAACGCCAUAUAGGCUGAGGACUGAUAACGACCACUCUACGAGUGGGAAGUAGCUGAUACCAUGCUUCCAGGAAAAACCUCUAAGCUUCAGGUUAUAAGAAACCGUACCCUAAACCGACACAGGUGGUUAGGUCGAGUAGACCAAGGUGUUUGAGAGAACUAUGGUGAAGGAACUAGGCAAAAUAGCACCGUAACUUCGGGAGAAGGUGCGCUAUAUUUAGUGAUGAGACUUGCUCUCUGAGCUGAAUGUAGUCGAAGAUACCAGGUGGCUGCGACUGUUUACUAAAAACAUAGCACUCUGCAAACUCGUAAGAGGAAGUAUAGGGUGUGACGCCUGCCCGGUGCCGGAAGGUUAAUUGAUGGGGUUAGCGUAAGCGAAGCUCUUGAUCGAAGCCCCGGUAAACGGCGGCCGUAACUAUAACGGUCCUAAGGUAGCGAAAUUCCUUGUCGGGUAAGUUCCGACCUGCACGAAUGGCGUAACGAUGGCCACACUGUCUCCACCAUAGACUCAGUGAAAUUGAAAUCGCAGUGAAGAUGCUGUGUACCCGCGGCUAGACGGAAAGACCCCGUGCACCUUUACUACAGCUUUGCACUGGACUUUGACACUAUCUGUGUAGGAUAGGUGGGAGACUAUGAAGCUUGAGCGCU
rnacentral:rRNA from 1 species